AGCGUAAACCGGGAAGCGGAUCGCGUGGAGUGAAAGUCACCGCAGCGGCUGGAGUGCAAUGGCGAGAUCUCAGCUCACUGCAACUGCUGUCUCCCGGGUUCAAGCAAUUGUCCUGCCUCAGCCUCCUGAAUAGCUGGGAUUACAGGUGCCCACCACCACUACCAGGAGAUGGACAAACCAUGUGGGUGCCCUCCAGGUGUGUGCGACCAUGAAAUGGGAGACUAGCAGGACCCACGUUGGCCAACCGUGGACCUGGUCCCUCCAGUAGGAGUCGUGAGCCAGCUGAAUUUGAAUGCAAAGAUGGAGCAAGGGCCGACUGGAGUCACACUGACAUCCACCCCCAUAACAUGGGGACAGAUCAAGAAAACAAAGCAGGAAGCUGAGAAAAUGCUGGAGCAUCCAUGUGCUUGGCCAUGUUAGCAGUAGUGUCCUGUGAGGUAUGUUUCCCCUGUGUAGAGGCCAAAACAUACUGGGCAUAUGUUCCUAAUCACCCUGUAGUGUGACCUGUACUCUGGAGUGACAUUCCUCCUGAGGUAUAUCAUGAUCAGGGAGCGUGGGCU
rnacentral:lncRNA from 1 species